GACGAACGCUGGCGGCGUGCUUAACACAUGCAAGUCGAGCGGAGCGGCGAACGGGUGAGUAACGCGUGCGUAACUGACCCUCUCCCUGGGAUAACAGUUGGAAACGGCUGCUAAUACCGGAUAGUGGGGGAUGACUCGCGUCCUCUCAGCUUGUUGGUGGGGUAGUGGCUUACUAAGGCGACGACGGGUAGCCGGCCUGAGAGGGCGACCGGCCACAUUGGUCUGCGUUACGGCCCAAACUCCUACGGGGGGCAGCAGUGGAGAAUAUUGCACAAUGGGGGAAACCCUGAUGCAGCAACGCGCGUGCGGGAUGACGGCCUUCAGGUUGUAAACCGCUUUCAGCCAUGACGCGGUAGUGGCAGAAGAAGCACCGGCUAACUACGUGCCAGCAGCCUCGGUAAUUC
rnacentral:rRNA from 1 species